AAUCUUGCGCAAUGGGCGAAAGCCUGACGCAGCAACGCCGCGUGCGGGAUGAAGGCCUUCGGGUUGUAAACCGCUUUUGCGAGGGAAGAAGUACUGACGGUACCUCGCGAAUAAGCCACGGCUAACUACGUGCCAGCAGCCGCGGUAAUACGUAGGUGGCAAGCGUUGUCCGGAUUUACUGGGCGUAAAGCGCCCGCAGGCGGCCUCGCAAGUUUCAGGUGAAAUCUCCCGGCUCAACCGGGAGGGGUCCUGGAAAACUGCAAGGCUUGAGGCAGGGAGGGGAAUGCGGAAUUUCCGGUGUAGCGGUGAAAUGCGUAGAUAUCGGAAGGAACACCAGCGGCGAAGGCGGCAUUCUGGCCCUGUCCUGACGCUCAGGGGCGAAAGCGUGGGGAGCGAACCGGAUUAGAUACCCGGGUAGUCCACGCCGUA
rnacentral:rRNA from 1 species